rnacentral:misc_RNA from 1 species
CGUCAUCUACACCCUCAAGCACUGCUUGGUGAUGGGCGUCUGUCCCGCCUUUGCGCGCGGACUCGCCCCAAAGACAUUGGCAGCGGUCCUGACCGCCUCUCGCGCAGCACAUUUGCGCUUCUCGAGGCGAUGGGGCCUGCAUCCACCAAGCUCAUACCAUGUUUGACCUCGGAUCAGGUAGGGAUACCCGCUGAACUUAA